rnacentral:rRNA from 1 species
GACUACCGGGGUAUCUAAUCCUGUUCGAUACCCACGCUUUCGUGCAUCAGCGUCAAUUAUAUCUUAGUAAGCCGCCUUCGCGAACGGUGUUCUAAAUCAUAUCUAUGAAUGUCACCUCUACAUGAUUCAUUCCGCCUACUCCAUUUAUAUUCUAGUCUGACAGUAUCAACGGCAAGACAUAGGUUAAGCCUAUGCUUUUCACCGCUGACUUAUCAGUCAGCCUACGCACCCUUUAAACCCAAUAAAUCCGGAUAACGCUCGGAUCCUCCGUAUUACCGCGGCUGCUGGCACGGAGUUAGCCGAUCCUUAUUCUCAUAAUACAUUCAGGUAUAUUCGCAAAUAUACGGUUAGUCUUAUGUAAAAGCAGUUUACAACCCAUAAGGCCGUCUUCCUGCACGCGGCAUGGCUGGUUCAGGCUUGCGCCCAUUGACCAAUAUUCCUCACUGCAGCCGCCCGUAGG